UACGUAGGGGGCAAGCGUUGUCCGGAUUUAUUGGGCGUAAAGAGCGUGUAGGCGGUUUGGUAGGUCCGCUGUGAAAACUCGAGGCUCAACCUCGAGAUGUCGGCGGAAACCACUUGGCUAGAGUCCGGAAGAGGAGAGUGGAAUUCCUGGUGUAGCGGUGAAAUGCGCAGAUAUCAGGAAGAACACCUAUGGCGAAGGCAGCUCUCUGGGACGGUACUGACGCUGAGACGCGAAAGCGUGGGGAGCGAACCGG
rnacentral:rRNA from 1 species